GACGAACGCUGGCGGCGUGCUUAACACAUGCAAGUCGAACGGAAAGGCCCUGCUUUUGUGGGGUGCUCGAGUGGCGAACGGGUGAGUAACACGUGAGUAACCUGCCCUUGACUUUGGGAUAACUUCAGGAAACUGGGGCUAAUACCGGAUAGGAGCUCCUGCUGCAUGGUGGGGGUUGGAAAGUUUCGGCGGUUGGGGAUGGACUCGCGGCUUAUCAGCUUGUUGGUGGGGUAGUGGCUUACCAAGGCUUUGAAGGGUAGCCGGCCUGAGAGGGGGACCGGCCACAUUGGGACUGCGAUACGGCCCAGACUCCUACGGGAGGCAGCAGUGGGGAAUAUUGCACAAUGGGCGGAAGCCUGAUGCAGCAACGCCGCGUGCGUGAUGACGGCCUUCGGGUUGUAAACCGCUUUCGCCUGUGACGAAGCGUGAGUGACGGUAAUGGGUAAAGAAGCACCGGCUAACUACGUG
rnacentral:rRNA from 1 species